GACGAACGCUGGCGGCGUGCCUAAUACAUGCAAGUUGAGCGCUGAAGGUUGGUACUUGUACCGACUGGAUGAGCAGCGAACGGGUGAGUAACGCGUGGGGAAUCUGCCUUUGAGCGGGGGACAACAUUUGGAAACGAAUGCUAAUACCGCAUAAAAACUUUAAACACAAGUUUUAAGUUUGAAAGAUGCAAUUGCAUCACUCAAAGAUGAUCCCGCGUUGUAUUAGCUAGUUGGUGAGGUAAAGGCUCACCAAGGCGAUGAUACAUAGCCGACCUGAGAGGGUGAUCGGCCACAUUGGGACUGAGACACGGCCCAAACUCCUACGGGAGGCAGCAGUAGGGAAUCUUCGGCAAUGGACGAAAGUCUGACCGAGCAACGCCGCGGGAGGGAAGAAGGUUUUCGGAUCGUAAAACUCUGUUGGUAGAGAAGAACGUUGGUGAGAGUGGAAAGCUCAUCAAGUGACGGUAACUACCCAGAAAGGGACGGCUAACUACGUG
rnacentral:rRNA from 1 species